AUGCAGCGACGCCGCGUGAGCGAUGAAGCCCUUCGGGGUGUAAAGCUCUUUCGGCAGGAAAGAUCAUGACGGUACCUGCAGAAGAAGCUGCGGCUAACUACGUGCCAGCAGCCGCGGUAAUACGUAGGCAGCGAGCGUUGUUCGGAGUUACUGGGCGUAAAGAGUGUGUAGGCGGUUUGCCAAGUUCGGUGUGAAAUCUCCCGGGCUUAACUGGGAGGGUGCGCCGAAUACUGGCAGGCUAGAGUGCGGGAGAGGAAAGCGGAAUUCCUGGUGUAGCGGUGAAAUGCGUAGAUAUCAGGAGGAACACCUGCGGUGUAGACGGCUUUCUGGACCGCCACUGACGCUGAGACACGAAAGCGUGGGUAGCAAACAGGAUUAGAUACCCUGGUAGUCCACGCCCUAAACGAUGCACACUUGGUGUGGGCAGUUCAUUCUGUCCGUGCCGUAGUUAACGCGUUAAGUGUGCCGCCUGGGGAGUACGGUCGCAAGGCUG
rnacentral:rRNA from 1 species